AGAGUUUGAUCAUGGCUCAGAACGAACGCUGGCGGCGCGCUAAUACAUGCAAGUCGAGCGAGAAGACGUAGCAAUACGUUUGUAAAGCGGCGAACGGGUGAGGAAUACAUGGGUAACCUACCCUCGAGUGGGGAAUAACUAGCCGAAAGGUUAGCUAAUACCGCAUACGACUCUCGGUCUGCGGAUCGGGAGGGAAAGCGAUACCGUGGGUAUCGCGCUCUUGGAUGGGCUCAUGUCCUAUCAGCUUGUUGGUGAGGUAACGGCUCACCAAGGCUUCGACGGGUAGCUGGUCUGAGAGGACGAUCAGCCACACUGGCACUGCGACACGGGCCAGACUCCUACGGGAGGCAGCAGUAAGGAAUAUUGCGCAAUGGGCGACAGCCUGACGCAGCGACGCCGCGUGGGGGAUGAAGGUCUUCGGAUUGUAAACCCCUUUCGGCAGGGAAGAUGGAGCGGGCAACCGCUCGGACGGUACCUGCAGAAGCAGCCACGGCUAACUUCGUGCCAGCAGCCGCGGUAAUACGAAGGUGGCAAGCGUUGUUCGGAUUUACUGGGCGUACAGGGAGCGUAGGCGGUUGGGUAAGCCCUCCGUGAAAUCUCCGGGCCUAACCCGGAAAGUGCGGAGGGGACUGCUCGGCUAGAGGAUGGGAGAGGAGCGCGGAAUUCCCGGUGUAGCGGUGAAAUGCGUAGAGAUCGGGAGGAAGGCCGGUGGCGAAGGCGGCGCUCUGGAACAUUUCUGACGCUGAGGCUCGAAAGCGUGGGGAGCAAACAGGAUUAGAUACCCUGGUAGCCCACGCCUUAAACGAUGGAUACUAAGUGUCGGCGGGUUACCGCCGGUGCCGCAGCUAACGCAGUAAGUAUCCCGCCUGGGAAGUACGGCCGCAAGGUUGAAACUCAAAGGAAUUGACGG
rnacentral:rRNA from 1 species